rnacentral:piRNA from 1 species
UUAAGAUUGAAACUUACAGAG